CCUACGGGUGGCAGCAGUGGGGAAUAUUGCACAAUGGGGGAGACCCUGAUGCAGCCACGCCGCGUGAGUGAUGACGGCCUUCGGGUUGUAAAGCUCUUUCUUCAGAGACGUUAAUUACGGUACCUGAGGAGGAAGCCACGGCUAACUACGUGCCAGCAGCCGCGGUAAUACGUAGGUGGCGAGCGUUAUCCGGAUUUACUGGGCAUAAAGGGAGCGUAGUCGGAUUUUUAAGUGAGAUGUGAAAUACUCGGGCUCAACUUGAAGACUGCAUUUCAAACUGGAAGCCUAGAGUGAAGGAGAGGAGAGUGGAAGUCGUAGUGUAGCGGUGAAAUGCGUAGAGAUUAGGAAGAACACC
rnacentral:rRNA from 1 species